CAGAUACGUUGCAACUGUGUAGAAUGUGUCUCCAGCUCAGAAGUUGAUAGUCUCAGACAUUCACGGUCGAGGCUCAACAUCUACAAGGCUCUGGCCAGCCCUUCUCUGAUUGCCUUAUCAAGCGAGGAUCCCAUCCUCACAGCAUUCCGUCUUGGGUGGGAGCUAAAAGAACUAAGCAAAGUAGAAAAUGAGUUUAAGGCAGAGUAUGAAGAACUGUCACAACAAUGCAAAAGGUUUGCCAAGGACCUGUUAGAUCAAGCAAGAAGCUCUAGAGAACUGGAGAUUAUCCUCAACCACCGGGAUGACCAGAGUGAGGAGUUAGAUCCGCAAAAGUGUCAUGAUCUCGCAAAACUGAAGGUAGCAAUAAAGUAUCAUCAGAAAGAG